rnacentral:rRNA from 1 species
CCUACGUGAGGCAGCAGUGGGGAAUAUUGGGCAAUGGACGAAAGCCUGACCCAGCCACGCCGCGUGAAGGAAGAAGGCUUUCUGGUUGUACACUUCUUUUGACAGGGAAGUGCAGAAGACGGUACCUGUCGAAUAAGCCACGGCUAACUACUUCCCAGCAGCCGAGGUAAUACGUAGGUGGCAAGCGUUGUCCGGGUUUCGUGGGUGUACAGGGCGUGUAGCCGGGCUGACCAGCCAGCUGUGAAGUCCGGGGGCUCCACCCCCGAACUGCAUUUGACACUGGUGGUCUUGAGUAUCGGUGAGGCAGGCGGAAUUCGUAGUGUAGCGGUGAAAUGCGUAGAUAGUAGGAGGAACACCAGUGGCGAAGGCGGCCUGCUGGACGACAACUGACGGUGAGGCGCGAAAGCGUGGGGAGCAAACAGGAUUAGAGACCCUUGUAGUC